rnacentral:rRNA from 1 species
AGAGUUUGAUCCUGGCUCAGGAGUGAACGCUGGCGGCGUGCCUAACACAUGCAAGUCGAACGAACGCGCCUGCGGCGGACCCUCCGGGGGAAAGCCGCGGGGACGUGAGUGGCGACGGGUGAGCAACGCUGGGCAACCUGCCCCUACCGGGGACAACAGCCGAACGGCUGCUAAUACCGCAUAUUCCCGCGGGGCCGCAUGGCCCUGCGGGGAAAGCUCCGGCAGUACGGGAUGGGCCCGCGUCUGAUUAGCUUGUUGGCGGGGUAACGGCCCACCAAGGCUGCGAUCAGUAGCCGGCCUGAGAGGGCGGCCGGCCACAUUGGGACUGAGACACGGCCCAGACUCCUGCGGGAGGCAGCAGUGGGGGAUAUUGCACAAUGGGGGAACCCUGAUGCAGCGACGCCGCGUGAACGAAGAAAUAUUUCGGUAUGUAAAGUUCUAUCAGCAGGGAAGAAAUGACAGUACCUGACCAAGAAGCCCCGGCUAACUACGUG